rnacentral:rRNA from 1 species
GAUGAACGCUGGCGGCGUGCCUAACACAUGCAAGUCGAGCGAGAAUUAGUGGAAUGAGGUUUCGGCCAAGUGAAGCUAAGGAAAGCGGCGGACGGGUGAGUAACGCGUGAGCAAUCUGCCCUAUGGACACGGAUAGCCACUGGAAACGGUGAUUAAUACGUGAUGAGAUUACGCUAACACAUGUUAGAGUGAUCAAAGAUUUAUCGCCAUAGGAUGAGCUCGCGUCUGAUUAGCUAGUUGGUGAGGUAAUGGCUCACCAAGGCGACGAUCAGUAGCCGACCUGAGAGGGUGAGCGGCCACACUGGAACUGAGACACGGUCCAGACUCCUACGGGAGGCAGCAGUGGGGAAUAUUGCACAAUGGGCGCAAGCCUGAUGCAGCAACGCCGCGUGGAUGAGGAAGGCCUUCGGGUCGUAAAAUCCUGUCCUAGAGGAAGAAAAAAAUGACGGUACUCUAGGAGGAAGCCCCGGCAAACUACGUGCCAGCCGCCGCAGUAA